rnacentral:sRNA from 1 species
UGUAGUUUUCGCCUGUCCAGGACGCCUUCACCCCUGCUUCCUUUGAGAAAAGUCCCUCUCCCACUCCAAGUGGUACUGACGGGGAUCACCCACACAAAAGAAACCUGGAGGCUCCCCUCCUGGGGCACCCGGCUUCUGCUCCAACCAGGUUUCAACAGAAAAUGAGAAAUAUCCCCCGACGAUUGGCUGAAAACAUGCAGCAACCACUAUUUUCUUCCUGCCCCUCGUUGAUGAGGGCAUUCGAAGUGACCUCAGCAGGGCAUCCAGAUCAAUUAUGCAGCUACAGCCAAAACCAAGUUCUUUUUAUUGCAAUGGUAAUGAAAGGAGCCCCGUGUAAGUCACUGGAAGGUCACAUGUUCACAGACUGUCAGCUGUGGAGGGUUAUGUAACAGUGGUUAUGCAAUGCCACAUUAGAACUACAGCC